GAUGAACGCUGGCGGCGUGCUUAACACAUGCAAGUCGAACGGGAAUUACUUUAUUGAAACUUCGGUCGAUUUAAUUUAAUUCUAGUGGCGGACGGGUGAGUAACGCGUGGGUAACCUGCCUUGUACAGGGGGAUAACAGUCAGAAAUGACUGCUAAUACCGCAUAAGCGCACAGGACCGCAUGGUCCGGUGUGAAAAACUCCGGUGGUAUAAGAUGGACCCGCGUUGGAUUAGCUUGUUGGUGGGGUAACGGCCCACCAAGGCGACGAUCCAUAGCCGGCCUGAGAGGGUGAACGGCCACAUUGGGACUGAGACACGGCCCAGACUCCUACGGGAGGCAGCAGUGGGGAAUAUUGCACAAUGGGGGAAACCCUGAUGCAGCGACGCCGCGUGAAGGAAGAAGUAUCUCGGUAUGUAAACUUCUAUCAGCAGGGAAGAAAAUGACGGUACCUGACUAAGAAGCCCCGG
rnacentral:rRNA from 1 species